rnacentral:rRNA from 1 species
AUGAGUUACGUAUGGAGAAGUCUGCUUCAAGGAGUAGAGGUUGUACGGCCAGGCAUGAUAUGGAGGGUGGGCUCGGGUGAGCAUAUCAAUAUCCGGUCGGACCCUUGGCUGCCUUCCAAUGACACACGGCUGCCUAGGACAUUGCAAGGUGCCAAUAUUCUGACAAAGGUGUCUAGGCUUCUGGAUCCUAUUACAAAUACAUGGGAUGGCCAGCUUGUUCAUCAGACUUUCUGUUCGGUGGAUGCAGCAACCAUUUUAAAUAUCCCAAUUUAUGAACACGAUGAUGAUUUCAUGGCCUGGUACUUCGACCCAAAGGGAUUGUUUUCUGUACGAUCUGCUUAUCGGCUGUACGUGGAUAUGCAGUCAAGACAACGUGUGCAGCAAAGGGGGGCUACCUCAUCGGGCUCUGAAGAAGUGGCGAGUUUCUAGAAGAGUUUAUGGGCGAUUCAGUGUCCUGGUAGAGUGCAUCGGUUCUUGUGGCGUCUUGCACAUAAUAGUCAUCCCCUGCCGCGGAAUGUGGAGCGUAUGGGUGUUGAUUUGGAUACUAAGUGUGUGAUCUGCCAACGCUUACCAGAAGAUGGUGCUCAUUUGUUUCUGCGAUGCAAGGAGGUUAAAAAAGUAUGGAGAUGUGGGGGUUUGGAGUAGAUCCGCCAACAGCUUCUCAUAUGCCAAUCACCAUUGGAAAUUCUUUAGGCCAUAUUUAAGCUUCCAGAAGGAAAGAAGUUGCGGGUCUUGUGCACCUUGUGGUCUUGGUGGUCGGAGAGGAACAAAAUGAAUCAUAAGAAAACGAGACUAUGA